UUCCUACGGGGCGCAGCAGUGAGGAAUAUUGGUCAAUGGGCGCGAGCCUGAACCAGCCAAGUCGCGUGAGGGAAGACGGUCCUAUGGAUUGUAAACCUCUUUUGUCGGGGAGCAAAAGACGCCACGCGUGGCGUUCCGAGAGUACCCGAAGAAAAAGCAUCGGCUAACUCCGUGCCAGCAGCCGCGGUAAUACGGAGGAUGCGAGCGUUAUCCGGAUUCAUUGGGUUUAAAGGGUGCGCAGGCGGGCCUUUAAGCCGGCGGUGAAAUUGCGGGGCUCAAACCCCCCGAGCCGUCGGAACUGGGGG
rnacentral:rRNA from 1 species